rnacentral:sRNA from 1 species
GCCAGGCCUGGUGGUGCACGCCUGUAAUCCCAGAAACUAGGGAGGUUGAGGCAGGAGGAUUGCAAGUUGGAGGCCAACCUCAGCAACCUAGUGAGACCCUGUCUUAA